rnacentral:rRNA from 1 species
UACAGAGGGGGCAAGCGUUGUUCGGAAUUACUGGGCGUAAAGGGCGCGUAGGCGGCCUUCUAAGUCGAACGUGAAAUCCCCGGGCUCAACCCGGGAACUGCGUCCGAUACUGGAAGGCUUGAAUCCGGGAGAGGGAUGCGGAAUUCCAGGUGUAGCGGUGAAAUGCGUAGAUAUCUGGAGGAACACCGGUGGCGAAGGCGGCAUCCUGGACCGGCAUUGACGCUGAGGAGCGAAGGCCAGGGGAGCAAACGGG